UGGGGAAUCUUGGACAAUGGGGGCAACCCUGAUCCAGCCAUGCCGCGUGAGUGAUGAAGGCCUUAGGGUCGUAAAGCUCUUUCGCCUGUGAAGAUAAUGACGGUAGCAGGUAAAGAAACCCCGGCUAACUCCGUGCCAGCAGCCGCGGUAAUACGGAGGGGGUUAGCGUUGUUCGGAAUUACUGGGCGUAAAGCGCACGUAGGCGGACCAGAAAGUUGGGGGUGAAAUCCCGGGGGCUCAACCCCGGAACUGCCUCCAAAACUAUUGGUCUAGAGUUCGAGAGAGGUGAGUGGAAUUCCAAGUGUAGAGGUGAAAUUCGUAGAUAUUUGGAGGAACACCAGUGGCGAAGGCGGCUCACUGGCUCGAUACUGACGCUGAGGUGCGAAAAGUGUGGGGAGCAAAACAGGAUUAGAUACCCUGGUAGUCCACACCGUAAAACGAUGAAAUGCCAGUCGUCGGGGUAGCAUGCUAUUCGGUGACACACCUAACGGAUUAAGCAUUCCGCCUGGGGAGUACGGUCGCAAGAUU
rnacentral:rRNA from 1 species